AUUGAACGCUGGCGGCAGGCUUAACACAUGCAAGUCGAGCGGGGUGAUGGUGCUUGCACUAUCACUUAGCGGCGGACGGGUGAGUAAUGCUUAGGAAUCUGCCUAUUAGUGGGGGACAACAUCUCGAAAGGGAUGCUAAUACCGCAUACGUCCUACGGGAGAAAGCAGGGGAUCACUUGUGACCUUGCGCUAAUAGAUGAGCCUAAGUUGGAUUAGCUAGUUGGUGGGGUAAAGGCCUACCAAGGCGACGAUCUGUAGCGGGGCUGAGAGGAUGAUGUCGCACAAUUGGACUGAGACACGGCCCAGACUACUACGGGAGGCAGCAGUGGGGAAUAUUGGACAAUGGGGGGAACCCUCAUCCAGCCAUGCCGCGUGUGUGAAGAAGGCCUUAUGGUUGUAAAGCACUUUAAGCGAGGAGGAGGCUCUUUUGGUUAAUACCCAAGAUGAGUGGACGUUACUCGCAGAAUAAGCACCGGCUAACUCUGUGCCAGCCGCCGCCGUAA
rnacentral:rRNA from 1 species